AACGAACGCUGGCGGCAUGCCUAACACAUGCAAGUCGAACGAGACCUUCGGGUCUAGUGGCGCACGGGUGCGUAACGUGUGGGAACCUGCCCUUAGGUUCGGAAUAACUCCCCGAAAGGGGUGCUAAUACCGGAUAAUGUCUUCGGACCAAAGAUUUAUCGCCUUUGGAUGGGCCCGCGUUGGAUUAGCUAGUUGGUAGGGUAAAAGCCUACCAAGGCGACGAUCCAUAGCUGGUCUGAGAGGAUGAUCAGCCACACCGGGACUGAGACACGGCCCAGACUCCUACGGGAGGCAGCAGUGGGGAAUAUUGGACAAUGGGCGAAAGCCUGAUCCAGCAAUGCCGCGUGAGUGAUGAAGGCCUUAGGGUUGUAAAGCUCUUUUACCCGGGAUGAUAAUGACAGUACCGGGAGAAUAAGCUCCGGCUAACUCCGUG
rnacentral:rRNA from 1 species